AGCAUACAUAUUGAUCAACACUGGACUUCCCAUCACAACAUGGAAACAUGGAAACAUGCAGUAUACAGUAUAGUAGUGGAAAAAACUCAGCAGCCUAUUUAUAUCUAAAGGACAAUGGGAAUCCUUUUGAACAAUAUGCAUAUUUUGGGACCGAGAAAAAGAAGAUGGUUUGAAAUAUGUGUGAAGCAGACCAUUUAUGACAAAAUGGAACAGCCAUCCCUAAACAAAGUAGGGGGUUAUGACAUCACCUAUUAGCAAGUCCCAUGAGCUUUACAUGCAGGAUAAGAGAAAAAUACUGAGUGACUAGGAA